rnacentral:Y_RNA from 1 species
GGCUGAUCCAAGUAUAGUGCUGUUUACAAUUAAUUGCUCACAGUCCAUUAUAGAUUUAUUUGUUCCUUCUUUACUCCCACUGCUUCACUUGACUGGCCUUUA